AGUUCUCCAACUUUUCUGACUUUCUCUCCCAGAUAACAGGUUGCUGUCACAACUGAGCUGUAGGGUCGGGCUGUAACACCUUUUUCCGCAACAUUUCCAGAGGCCCCAGCAAGAUUCAAACCACGCCGGCCCCUUGAGGUGCCGGGAAGGCGGAGCAACCGCCUGGAGGUCGGGAGCUCCAAAGCAAAGCAAACGAGGAGGUGCGCCACCCGACAAUACUCCGGGUCCUUCUUCGCGGAGGUGAUUCAGUUCUCCCGGCAGCUGUGCCCCAACCGGACUCAGUGGAGGGACGGACCAACUCAGCAAGCAACACGGCCAAAUAAGAUGGUUGCAGGAGCCAGGAGGCUGCUGAGAUGGUGGGAAAGAGACAAGAAUGUUAACCUUCUAGGUGUAACAUCUUGGGAAUGACC